UACGAAGGGGGCGAGCGUUGUUCGGAAUCACUGGGCGUAAAGGGCGCGUAGGCGGCCCUCUUAGUCGCGUGUGAAAGCCCCGGGCUCAACCUGGGAACGGCGCGCGAAACGGGAGGGCUGGAGUUCGGGAGAGGAGAGUGGAAUUCCCAGUGUAGAGGUGAAAUUCGUAGAUAUUGGGAAGAACACCGAUGGCGAAGGCAGGUCUCUGGGCCGAUACUGACGCUGAGGAGCGAAAGCGUGGGGGAGCGAACAGG
rnacentral:rRNA from 1 species